GGCAGCCAUAUUAGGGGGAUGCAGAGAGUGACUAGCGGGUUGAACGAAGAAUGCAGAUAAAGAUUAAAAAAAUGAUGUGCUGGAUUCAGACAGAAAAAAUAAUGAGCACUGCAUCGGGUUUCCAUGGCGAUGGGUCUCCGGAUGACGUGUGCCAUACAAUGCGCGAUGACAUCAUCAUCAAGCAACACAGCCGCCAUACGGGUCUCGCUGGGCGGUCGCCUCUCACUCACAAUGGUGGGGAUAAAAAGUAUGCUGCCGAUUGCAUUGUUUCCUUGGUGGUGAUGGUUAUUUACGUGUAAUUAGUAACCAGACUCGAGCCCAGGCUGACAAGCCCAGGUGGGCGUGACACAGCACAGCAUGGACACUGAGGAACUCAAGCUUGUGGCAUCUUUUGCACAAGGGUGUUUUGGGGGAUAUAAAAUAUCAGGCACUGCGAUGAGCUCUAAUUUGGCCCCAUCAUAUGCCAAUUUGUUUAUGGCCGAUGUGAAAACACCCACAACCU